CGUCGCUUAACGGAAGAAGGCUCGAGUAGCAGCGGCGCAGCCAGGACACCUGGGGGUGACACACGAGUGGGCGGGCGGUCCAGGGAGCCCCUGCUGGAAACCAGACGCUAAACCUUGCAGCUGUGAAGCUAAGGGAGCAUCUAUUUUCCAUUUGAGAGCAACCCGGGCAAGCGAGAACGGCCCGAUUUCGGUGCAGGGGUGCAUCCCGAGGGGGCGGGGGGCUGUUUCUGCGGCGGACCGGGCAGGGGAAACCGAGGCCACGCUGGAUCCGCAGCCCCGAGGUGUCCACGAGAGGUCCGCUCGCGCGAGGGCGCGGCGCGAGGCUGCCCGCGGGACCGGCCUGCGGUGCGAGCGGCUCUUGCCGGAAGCCGCUCGGAGAUAAAACAGGAAGUCCCACCCCUCCCUUAGAGAAGGAAAACGGAGAGCCGAAGGAGUCAAUCUAAAUACGAUGAGCACGUCGGGCUCGAAGGCAGGCGAUGUCAUCCCGGGAGGAGCGUCUGGGAUUUCUAGAGGGUCCCAGAACGGGUUCUUCCCGGGCCGAUCCCGCCUGCUUCCUGCCCUGUCCCUCCACCCGGCUCCCGCCCUCAAUAAGGGACCCCGAGGGCGGCGCCGGAAACACUGAGAAGGCCCAGAACGGCGCGGGACCGGAGAGGCCUACGCUGGCAAACGCAGCCCGCUGCCUCUCUGCCGGCUUCCCCGGGACCUGGAGUGGCUGCUGUCGCUUCUGGCGCUCCGAUUUCGAGAAAUGACUUUCAGCUGUGCAAGGCGAGAAUGCUACUUUAAAUGACGAGAAAAAUCUCUCGAAUGGCUCCCAAAAUAAGGUCCUUGUUUCAGAGGCCACAGGAAACCACCAGCCGAACUCUGAUACCAAAAAAGAGGCCAAGAAGCGGAAUGUGGCUUGGUGACCAGUUUGGUAUUGCCAAACUUUCAGCUUUUAUUAAAGCUGAAACACCUUGGCUGUUUAAAACGUUCGACAAGGACUUUUUAUGAACGUUAACGGCCCAGCACACGGGCUUGUU